CUCCGGUGAUCCCCGCCGGACCCGACUGCUAUCAGAGUGAGAUUUAGCCAUGCGAGUCGAACGUCUCCUGAUUGCAGGGGGCGUGGCGUACGGCUCAGUAACACGUAGUCAACCUGCCCUGAAGACAGGAAUAACCCCGGGAAACUGGGACUAAUACUUGAUAGGUCACCUCAUCUGGAAGGAGAGAUGGCUUAAAUGGACACGUGAGCUUAUUUCACGUGAAACGCUUCAGGAUGGGACUGCGACUGAUCAGGCUGUUGGCGGGGUAAUGGCCCACCAAACCAAUAACCAGUACGGGCCUUGAGAGAGGGGGCCCGGAGAUGGACACUGAGAGAAGGGUCCAGGUCCUACGGGGCGCAGCAGGCGCGAAACCUCUGCAAUAGGCGAAAGCUUGACAGGGUUACUCUGAGUGAUUUCCGUUAAGGAGAUCUUUUGGCACCUCUAAAAAUGGUGCAGAAUAAGGGGUGGGCAAGUCUGGUGUCAGCCGCCGCGGUAAUACCAGCACCCCGAGUGGUCGGGACGUUUAUUGGGCCUAAAGCAUCCGUAGCCGGUUCUACAAGUCUUCCGUUAAAUCCACCUGCUUAACAGAUGGGCUGCGGAAGAUACUAUAGAGCUAGGAGGCGGGAGAGGCAAGCGGUACUCGAUGGGUAGGGGUAAAAUCCGUUGAUCCAUUGAAGACCACCAGUGGCGAAGGCGGCUUGCCAGAACGCGCUCGACGGUGAGGGAUGAAAGCUGGGGGAGCAAACCGGAUUAGAUACCCGGGUAGUCCCAGCUGUAAACGAUGCAGACUCGGUGAUGAGUUGGCUUAUUGCUAACUCAGUGCCGCAGGGAAGCCGUUAAGUUUGCCGCCUGGGGAGUACGGUCGCAAGACUGAAACUUAAAGGAAUUGGCGGGGAGCA
rnacentral:rRNA from 1 species